rnacentral:rRNA from 1 species
UACGAAGGUCCCUAGCGUUGUUCGGAAUUAUUGGGCGUAAAGCGCAUGUAGGUGGCUUAGCAAGUCAGGUGUGAAAGCCCCGGGCUCAACCCGGGAAGUGCACUUGAAACUGCUUAGCUUGAGUACGGAAGAGGUAAGUGGAAUACCUGGUGUAGUGGUGAAAUACGUAGAUAUCAGGUGGAACAUCAGUGGCGAAGGCGGCUUACUGGUCCAGUACUGACACUGAGAUGCGAAAGCAUGGGGAUCAAACAGG